rnacentral:lncRNA from 1 species
CCUGGGCUGCAGCAACAGAGGGGUGGCAGCAGGGAGAGGAGAGGGAGGGGGUUGUGCCCCUCUGCUCUGCCCCUGGAAGGCCCCACCUGCAGUGCUGUGCCCAGGCCUGGGGCCCCCAGGACAGGAGGGAUGCGGAGCUGCUGGAGCGGGUCCAGAGGAGGGCACGAGGAUGCACAGAGGGCUGCAGCACCUCUGCUGUGAAGACAGGCUGAGGGAGCUGGGCUUGUUCAGCUCGGGGAAGCUUGGGGACCAACUGUUUACAUGGUCUUAUAGUGACAAGACAAGAAGGAAUGGCUCUAAGCUAAAAGAGGGGAGAUUUAUGUUAGAUGUGAGGAAGCAAUCCUUUUGGCAGAGGGCGGUGAGGCGCUGGCACUGCUGCCCAGAGAGCUGUGGGUGCCCCAUCCCUGCAGGCACUCAAGGCCAGGUGGGAUGGGGCCCUGGGCAGCCUGAGCUGGUGGGGGGCAGCCCUGCCCAUGGCCGGGGGUGGCACUGGGUGGGCUUUGAGCUCCCCUCCAACCUAUGAUUCACGUGUCUGUGUGCCCAUUACCUUCUCAUUCUGGAAGAGAAAGAGAGAGAAUGAUGGCAGUAUCAGAUAGCUGAGAUGAAGUGUCACCUGCCUUUUGAUGUUCUGUGGGCUCCUCUCUAGUGCCACACUCACUGACUAUUAAGUCUCUAUUGCAGUAAAUCAAUGCCUUCACAGUGUAUGCAGCUGAAGAAAUCUCAGACAAUUCCCCUCGAAGCUGUUCCAGGAGCUAAGCCAGGCUUUCUGCCAGCAUGGGUUGACUGAAACCCUCCAUACAAGUGCACCAACACACACCUUGUUUUCCUCCCGGUCAGGCACUGCGCCAGCUAUUCCCCUCCACAUACAUCCUCCC